UACGUAGGGUGCGAGCGUUGUCCGGAAUUAUUGGGCGUAAAGAGCGUGUAGGCGGCCGUACAGGUCAGCUGUGAAAACUCGAGGCUCAACCUCGAGACGUCGGUUGAAACCGUACGGCUAGAGUCCGGAAGAGGAGAGUGGAAUUCCCGGUGUAGCGGUGAAAUGCGCAGAUAUCGGGAAGAACACCCGUGGCGAAGGCGGCUCUCUGGGCCGGUACUGACGCUGAGACGCGAAAGCGUGGGGAGCGAACAGG
rnacentral:rRNA from 1 species